UGCACUGUGUGAUAUCUGCAUUUAGCAGCUUACUCCUGCUGGGGUGUUCAAAGGACAGUGUGAUAUAAAUUCAGAAUCUGGCAUAAUGUUGGUUUUCUUGGCUUUGUGCAUGUUCAACCUGGUAUUUUUAUUGAUACAAUA